AUGGAUCCUCUUGACUACCUUUCUGUCAGAUUUCACUACAGAGGUGACUUUGAGCAUGAUGGAAAUGAUUGGGUUUAUGUUGGAGGAAAAACUGGGUUGUCCACAAUUGAAUUUCCAGAGCUGUCAGUAUCUGGGCUGAAGAAGAACCUUCCAGAUUUUAUUACAUGUUCUGAUUUAGCCCUACAAAAUACUAAACUGCAUUGGAAAUAUCCAGAUGGUGACUUGGCAAAUGCUUUGCUUGUACUGGAUGAUCAAAAAUCGAUGGAGAUGAUGGCUAAACAUGUAACUGAUGCUGGUGUUAUUGAUAUAUAUGUUGUCAUUCCUGCUGAUGAAAGUCUUGAAGGCAUUGAUUGGGAGUUUGAAUUUGCAGAGCAGUUUCAGGCAGAGCAUUGUUAUGCAGAGCAAGUUCAUGUAGAUGAAGGGCGUGCAGAGGAGGUGCAGGCAGAGCAAAGAAAUGCAGAGGAUGUACAAUGUAGGGCCAAAAUGCCAGUGUUCAGGGCAGCAAGUUCAGUUUCUGACAGAGGAAAAGGGGUUCCAACUGAGGAGAUGCAGUUUUCAGGUGAAUCUGACAGUGACAGUGACUAUGUUGUGCCUCCUGCAGAGAGCAACAGUUCAGCUGAAGAUGAAGAAAUCAUUGAGUAUAGAAAAUAUGCCAAAGAAUUCAAGGAGAAAAGGAGAAAGAAGAUGCUAGGGGAGGAAGAAGCACAAGCUUGCAAUGUUACUGAUGAUUUCAUUGUACCAGAAACAUGUAAGUUGGAUGAUGAUGCAGAUGACACCCCCUACUUUGAGAGUGAUGAUGAUCUUUCUUAUGAUGAGGCUAGUGAUGGAGAGGUCAAUGCUGUCAGAAGGAGAAAGACCACUCAUAAAGUGUAUGAUGACAGUACAAAUAACUCACAGUUUGAAGUUGGGAUGGCUUUUACUAACAGCGGAGAAUUCAAACAAGCACUAGUGAAAUAUGGAUUAAAGAAUUUCCAUCACUUGUUAUUUCCCAAGGAUGAGAAAAGAAGAGUGAGUGCCAAGUGCAGCUGGACUGGAUGCCAAUGGAGCAUUUAUGGUUCAAUAAAUAGCAAGUCUGACUGGUUGUUGGUGCAAAGGUACAACAAUGUCCAUACAUGUGUGCCUAGGAGAUAUAAUAAACUCGUGACUAGUUCUAUCAUUGCAAAGAAAUAUUUCAGACAGAUCAGAGACAAUCCAACAUGGAGGGUGGAGAAGAUGCAAGAAGCAGUACUAGAAGAUUUGCUAGCAGAUGUGACCAUAUCCAAAUGCAAGAGGGCGAAGAAACUUGUGAUGGAAAAGCUCAUAGAUUCAACUAAUGGUGAAUAUUCUAGAGUAUUUGACUACCACCUUGAGUUAAUUAGGAGCAAUCCUGGUAGUACUGUUGCAGUUACAUUAGACCCUAAUGAGCAUAAUGUGUUUGAAAGGAUGUAUGUUUGUCUAGAUGGUUGCAAGAAGGGGUUUAUAGCUGGAUGUAGAAGAGUUGUUGGGUUAGAUGGUUGUUUUUUGAAGGGUGGUGUGCAUGGACAAAUAUUGUGUGCAAUUGGGAGAGAUGCCAACAACCAGAUGUACCCCAUUGCAUGGGCAACUGUUGAGGUUGAGAGUUAUGAUAGUUGGUACUGGUUUCUAUCAUUUUUUAUAAAGCUAGGACACAUUCCAUUUUUUAUAAUGAUAAAUACCUUUCCAUCUUGA
rnacentral:rRNA from 1 species